GCCGGCCCCAGUGUGGUUUCCGUUGUGCUUGGGAGCAGUCGCGUAGUCGCCCGUGUCCAGCUCCUUCUUUGUUCUUUGUUCCGAAAUCGGUCUUUUCUUCUUCGGACCCCGAACGUCGCCUCACGCUUCCUGCCUUCGUCAAAGGGCCUCCUUUCGUUCGACACAUUGGGCGCAAGAGCGAGUUGCACGGCUGGCCCUCCGUUUCAAGUGACCUCCUUCAGCUGCGGAUGACCUGUGCUUAAUCAAGACCGCUUGAAUGGCAACUGAGAACUUGCUCCAAGCAAAAAGUGUUUUUAUGAAAUCGUGUUAGCUCGUGCGAAUUCACUGAAUAGGAACAAGUGUGUUUUCAUCGAGACAGCUCUCGUCUGCAAACUUGCAUUGUCGGCCUAAUAAAGUCUCAGGUUAUUAAAAUGUGAGGUAAAAAAGGAAAAUCUGUUGUUUUGUGUUUUGCUGGUGAGGACGAAGCCCCUGCUGUGCACACCUGCGGAAACGAAGUAAGUCCCUUAUCAGUUUGUUCAGAGAUUUGAUUUUUUCCCGUGGUAAUCGUGAAAAA